GAUGAACGCUAGCGGGAGGCCUAACACAUGCAAGCCGAGCGGGAUUUGUUGGUUAGCUUGCUAACUAACAAUGAGAGCGGCGUACGGGUGCGUAGCACGUGUGCAACCUGCCUUUAUCUGGGGGAUAGCCUUUCGAAAGGAAGAUUAAUACCCCAUAACAUAUUGAUUGGCAUCAGUUAAUAUUGAAAGCUCCGGCGGAUAGAGAUGGGCACGCGUAAGAUUAGCUAGUUGGUGAGGUAACGGCUCACCAAGGCUGCGAUCUUUAGGGGGCCUGAGAGGGUGAUCCCCCACACUGGUACUGAGACACGGACCAGACUCCUACGGGAGGCAGCAGUGAGGAAUAUUGGACAAUGGGUGAGAGCCUGAUCCAGCCAUCCCGCGUGAAGGACUAAGGACCUAUGGUUUGUAAACUUCUUUUAUACAGGGAUAAACCUACUCUCGUGAGGGUAGCUGAAGGUACUGUAUGAAUAAGCACCGGCUAACUCCGU
rnacentral:rRNA from 1 species